rnacentral:rRNA from 1 species
UACGUAGGGUGCAAGCGUUAAUCGGAAUUACUGGGCGUAAAGCGUGCGCAGGCGGUGAUGUAAGACAGAUGUGAAAUCCCCGGGCUCAACCUGGGAACUGCAUUUGUGACUGUAGAGCUGGAGUGCGGCAGAGGGGGAUGGAAUUCCGCGUGUAGCAGUGAAAUGCGUAGAUAUGCGGAGGAACACCGAUGGCGAAGGCAAUCCCCUGGGCCUGCACUGACGCUCAUGCACGAAAGCGUGGGGAGCAAACAGG